CAGAAAUUCGAGCUCUUUGACACUGACACGUGUCCAAGACAGUAAUGUUCUGCGUUUCAUUUAUUUAUGUUUGUAAUUCAUUUGGGCUUUUGUGUAUAUUUUGUGUUUGUGUCAAGUCUUAUGAAGCCCAUCCGAUAAAGAGUAAGUCAAUAUGCUUAACACGCGUCGUUUUGUAUAUCAUAUGGGUUGAACCCUCUUCUUCUCCGCCGUCGCGAUAUGGAGUCACACCCUAGGCUUUCGAUUCAGUUGCUUAUCUUCUUCCUACCGACCCAUAAAUCCACCAGUUACAGAUUCAUUCUAUUAAAAUCUGUCUUAAAUCAUCAUUCAAUAUCUACCUUUAUAUAUAGAUGAAGACAAAGAGUAUGCAUAUCAAACGGCUGUGAACAUCGGAAGUCACGUUUGCAAAGGCAUUCAUCAGAUGAUCACCGCUACAGCUCAACCCCUGCUGCCAUAUCCGCAGAAUCCUCUCAGCACCAUCUUAACCUCUUGGCCUCAGCCACUUCAGUCGCCACUACAACCGCCGUGACCGCGAGAAAUAACAAUACCCCAUCGGUUGACCUUUCUUUGAUUUACACUGCGGCAGCAACUCCGAUCAACUCUUUUAUCACCGCCGAGAUGGCAAAUAGAGUAGAAGCAUCAACAUGUAUCUGGAGGAGAAGAGCUCAUUCAAGGCAUUUGACUUCACUGUAUAGAUCCACUGGUGCAAGACCCUCCUUGGGAGGAUGAUAGUGGAAGAGAUGAUGAAUCGGAAAGUAACACUUUUGAUUGGUCAGAUAAGAGAAGCAGUUCGCAGCUGAAGAGCUCUCAAGAGAGAGAGAGAGAGAGCAUAAUCCCUAAAGGGUAAGACUUUUGGAAUUCCAGUCUAUUUUUUGAUUUUUGGUUUUCUUGAACAGUGGGAACUACUAAAGGAAAGUAUGAAUCGAUGUGGGUAGUGGAAAAAGAGGCAUUGGAACAGGAUUGUUUGUUAACAAUUACCCAAUAAGGAAUCUGAAGUUUGAGAUGUACAGGAUUGAAACGGUGAGAUGAGCCUCGAACCUGAAAAUAUGGGGAGGAGGGAGUGGCUGAAAGAGAAUGUUAAGGAGGAGGAAUAUGUGGUUAUGAAGGCAGAGGUUGACGUGUUGGAGGUGAUGAUGAGGAGAAGGAACAUGGAGACAGACCUGAGAGGAUAUGUAUCAAACCAUGCGUUUUUUUCUUUACAUUAUCUUCUUUUUUCUUCUUUUUUGUUGUCCGAAUUGUUUUAAUCAUCUUAUGCUCAUUCUGUUUUGUUGUGGUGUUGCAGUUUCGGGGUUCUAAUAAGCUUAAUUAAUUAUGUUAAGUAAUUCCUCAUUGUUUAGGUUCUAGGUUCUAACGGUAUUUUUGUUGUUGAAUUGACUAGAUGUACUAGCAUCAUGUUAGUUGUUCUCACGAGGUUUUGACUGCAUUCAAGAAAAAGCUCAAGUUUUCUGAUAACCUAGCAUUUUUCUUUGUUACUAUUGUGCUAUGACUUCUCUUCCAUCACAUGAUCUUAGUCGUUUCUUUAUCUACCGUGAGCUGAUUGAUUCAUGACUUUCCUACUUUGUUCAUAUAGUCUCAUAUCCAGAAGCUGUCUGAUUAAGUUCUUCUACAAAUAACUCCCAUCCAAGUAUAGCUAGGUAUUUGGGCACAGUGAGAGAAGAUGAAACUUUCGGAAUCCUGCUUGAACGAGAACCUCUUUCUGGAUUCUCGAACUUCCCUUAGGUUAUCAGAGAAUUUCUGAGACACGGAUGCCCGCCAUUGCCAUAAAUCUGUACAAAGACAUGAGUAAAACCACCUCCGAGGUGAACCUUAAUGAAGGACUGUCACACCAAAGUCGAAGGAAAGGGCUGCAGGUUCUGUAUGGCUGCUAUGUGCGCGGCAUGUGUCUUUGAGGUCACACGUGAGACUGGUUAUGGCCACUACAGCAACUGACACCGUUCCGUCUAACUUUGCUUCACUUAAUAUCUCAGUUCGUAGCUCAAGAUCUUCUUUCUCUGCUGGUCAUCUUCUUACGAGUCAUCAUUAUAAUGAUAUUUGUAAUA